rnacentral:rRNA from 1 species
AUUGAACGCUGGCGGCAGGCCUAACACAUGCAAGUCGAACGGUAACAGAAAGCAGCUUGCUGCUUUGCUGACGAGUGGCGGACGGGUGAGUAAUGUCUGGGAAACUGCCUGGUGGAGGGGGAUAACUACUGGAAACGGUAGCUAAUACCGCAUAACGUCGCAAGACCAAAGAGGGGGACCUUCGGGCCUCUUGCCAUCGGAUGUGCCCAGAUGGGAUUAGCUAGUAGGUGGGGUAACGGCUCACCUAGGCGACGAUCCCUAGCUGGUCUGAGAGGAUGACCAGCCACACUGGAACUGAGACACGGUCCAGACUCCUACGGGAGGCAGCAGUGGGGAAUAUUGCACAAUGGGCGCAAGCCUGAUGCAGCCAUGCCGCGUGUAUGAAGAAGGCCUUCGGGUUGUAAAGUACUUUCAGCGGGGAGGAAGGGAGUAAAGUUAAUACCUUUGCUCAUUGACGUUACCCGCAGAAGAAGCACCGGCUAACUCCGUG